rnacentral:rRNA from 1 species
AGCAGCCGCGGUAAUUCCAGCUCCAAUAGCGUAUAUUAAAGUUGUUGCAGUUAAAAAGCUCGUAGUUGAAUUUCGGGAUCAAUAUGUCGGUCGUGCCUUGGUACGUACUGGUAUCAUUGGUCUCUCCUUUCUGACGAACCAUGAUGUCAUUAAUUUGGUGUUAUGGGAAGUUAGGACUGUUACUUUGAAAAAAUUAGAGUGUUUAAAGCAGGCUUUAGCUUGAAUACAUUAGCAUGGAAUAAUGAAAUAGGACGUUCGAACCUAUUUUGUUGGUUUCUAGGAUCAACGUAAUGAUUAAUAGGGAUAGUUGGGGGCAUUAGUAUUCAAUUGUCAGAGGUGAAAUUCUUGGAUUUAUUGAAGACUAACUACUGCGAAAGCAUUUGCCAAGGAUGUUUUCAUUAAUCAAGAACGAAAGUUAGGGGAUCGAAGACGAUCAGAUACCGUCGUAGUCUUAACCAUAAACUAUGCCGACUAGGGAUCGGAUGAUGUUAAUUUUUAAUGUACUC